AAAACUCCCUUGACGGUACUUAAUGAAUAAGCCCCGGCUAAUUAUGUGCCAGCAGCCGCGGUAAUACAUAAGGGGCGAGCGUUAUCCGGAAUUAUUGGGCGUAAAGGGUGCGUAGGCGGUUUAAUAAGUCUAUAGUUUAAUUUCAGUGCUUAACGCUGUUGUGCUAUAGAAACUGUUUUACUAGAGUGAGUUAGAGGCAAGCGGAAUUCCAUGUGUAGCGGUAAAAUGCGUAAAUAUAUGGAGGAACACCAGAGGCGUAGGCGGCUUGCUGGGACUUUACUGACGCUGAGGCACGAAAGCGUGGGGAGCAAACAGGAUUAGAUACCCUGGUAGUCCACNCCGUAAACGAUGAGUACUAAGUGUCGGGUAAAACCGGUACUGAAGUUAACACAUUAAGUACUCCGCCUGAGUAGUACGUACGCAAGUAUGAAACUUAAAGGAAUUGACGGGACUCCGCACAAGCGGUGGAUCAUGUUGUUUAAUUCGAAGAUACACGAAAAACCUUACCAGGUCUUGACAUUUUCUUGCGAAGUUAUAGAAAUAUAAUGGAGGUUAUCAGGAAAACAGGUGGUGCAUGGUUGUCGUCAGCUCGUGUCGUGAGAUGUUAGGUUAAGUCCUAAAACGAGCGCAACCCUUGUCGUUAAUUGCCAGCAUGUAAUGAUGGGGACUUUAACGAGACUGCCAAUGAAAAAUUGGAGGAAGGUGGGGAUUACGUCAAAUCAUCAUGCCCCUUAUGAUCUGGGCUACAAACGUGAUACAAUGGUUGAUACAAAGAGUAGCUGAAACGCGAGUUCUUAGCCAAUCUCACAAAAUCAAUCUCAGUUCGGAUUGAAGUC
rnacentral:rRNA from 1 species